GACGAACCGUGCGAACGUUGUUCGGAUUCACUGGGCAUAAAGGGCGCGUAGGCGGAUGGUCAAGUCGGGGGUGAAAUCUUUCAGCUUAACUGGAAAAGUGCCUCCGAUACUGAUCGUCUCGAGGGAGGUAGGGGCAUGUGGAACUUCCGGUGGAGCGGUGAAAUGCGUAGAUAUCGGAAGGAACGCCGGUGGCGAAAGCGACGUGCUGGACCUCUUCUGACGCUGAGGCGCGAAAGCUAGGGGAGCAAACAGG
rnacentral:rRNA from 1 species